CCCCUCUCAGGGUUGCACCUGGAGAGUUUCCAGUACUCUCCCAGUCUCGACUACGGGAGGGAAAGUCAAGCAGAGACACGCCCAUUCCAUUUCUAGCUUGGGCAGUGGCUAGCGAGUGGAAGGCGAUCUGCUACGAGU